rnacentral:lncRNA from 1 species
GAGUAUCCUCUGGAUUCUGUUGGACCACUCACUCUCAUUGAUAUCUGUUUGUUCCUUCACCAGUCAUUCAGGCCACCCUGGGUUCUACCCCCCUGGAAAGACUUCCUUUGGCCAGUGUCAAUCAGUGCCAAAACCAAGAGGAAAACUGAGGAGGAUUUCAUUAUAGAAGACUAUACCACCUGGACACAAGGAUACAAAAGCAGAGUUGCUGAAGCCAUCUUGGAGUAUCAGGUCUCCCUGAUUCUUCUGAAUCCUCCCAGAGAGCCACCACAGAUCUGGGCAUUCUGAUCAACAUUCAGUGGCAAGCCUGGAGGGGCAAUGCUUGCCUCCCAUCGUAUGGUAGGCCAGAUAUGUUCCUGGCCCAUCAGAAGCCUUCUUCUGGAUGCAGUCUAUAAGCCACUGUGACGGAUGAGAAGAGCCCAGGAUGGAGAUGAAAGUCUGGAACCAGAAUCUGAGCCCUUAUUUUUCUGACUCACUGUUUUACCUUGGAAGAAUCACUGAAGUUUUCUGCAUCUCUGUUUCCUCAUAUGUUUAAAAAAG